CCGGGACCCGCCUCCUCCAAGCCCCUCCUCUUCGAAACGCUGUUUGCUGAACCAGGUAGUGGUCUUCCACCGGGUUUCCGUAGCCCGUGACGGAUUUCAAAGCGCUACCAAAUCAUGGUCUCUGCACAGGUCCUGAAUUCUUGACGAAUAUUUAUUCCGAUGAAUAUUUAUUGCGAUGAAUGAUUAUCCUCACUCAGUUGGUGCCAAUAUUGGCCCAACACCAUCACAAUUAAUCUCUUGAGAGGAAUAUUCUUUGGGUUCACAGAAGAUGAAAUCUGAACAACUACCAGAGAUAGAUGGAAAAUCUGGAGAAGCCAAGUUAAUAAAGACCUUCCCCUUUUGUCUUCUGUUCUCACUUCCUAAAAAACCUAAUAAGGCCAUGGGUAACCAACCAACCCAGUUUGCAGGUGGGACUUUUUAGUGCUAGAGCCACUCUGUGACUGAUACCAAAAAUGUGGCUCUAGAUUGUAAUAUAAAAGAUAAAGCAGAUUCUGGGGAUUCAGCUUUUGCUUUGGAAAUUCUACUAGGGAAACCAAGGCAUUGUAAGAUGUUGCAGCUGUCUGUGAUUUCAUUGUGUCUAUGUUUUGGUCUUAAAUUUACUAGUGACGUGGGUCUUGUUUGAGGGGGUAUUCUGAUGGGUCUUAUUAACCCAUUGAAUCUUUGAAUAACAAUAGAGACUUCCUUUUCUCUUGGAAUUAAUUCUCUUGGGUAAGUAACUCAUCCUGUUUUGCCUGGAACUUUCCCACUUGUAGCCCUGAAAGUCCUGCAUCCUUGGAAAUCCCCCAGUCUUGGGUAAAUGAGAAAGGUCAUG
rnacentral:lncRNA from 1 species